rnacentral:rRNA from 1 species
GACGAACGCUGGCGGUGUGCUUCACACAUGCAAGUCGAACGAGGUAGCAAUACCUAGUGGCGGACGGGUGAGUAAACGCGUGGGAAGCUGCCUUUAGAUGGGGGAUAACGGGUCGAAAGACUCGCUAAUACCGCAUAUGACGAAAGUUGAAAGGAGUAAUCCGUCUAAAGAUGAGCCCGCGUCCGAUUAGCUAGUUGGUAGAGUAAAAGCCUACCAAGGCGACGAUCGGUAGCUGGUCUGAGAGGAUGAUCAGCCACAAUGGGAACUAGAGACACGGCCCAUACUCCUACGGAGGCAGCAGUGGGAAUUUACGCAAUGGGCGAAAGCCGUGACGUAGCGACACCGCGUGAGCGAAGAAG